GGGCCCGCACAAGCGGUGGAGCAUGUGGUUUAAUUCGACGCAACGCGAAGAACCUUACCCAGGCUUGAACUGCAGAUGACAUCCUACGAAAGUAGGCUUCCGCAAGGACGUCUGUAGAGGUGCUGCAUGGCUGUCGUCAGCUCGUGUCGUGAGAUGUUGGGUUAAGUCCCGCAACGAGCGCAACCCUUGUCUUCUGUUGCCAUCGGGUUAUGCCGGGCACUCUGAAGAGACUGCCGGUGACAAACCGGAGGAAGGUGGGGAUGACGUCAAGUCAGCAUGGCCUUUAUGUCUGGGGCCACACACGUGCUACAAUGGCCGGUACAAACCGUCGCGAUACCGUAAGGUGGAGCUAAUCGGAGAAAGCCGGUCUCAGUUCGGAUUGUAGGCUGCAACUCGCCUGCAUGAAGUUGGAAUCGCUAGUAAUCGCGGAUCAGCACGCCGCGGUGAAUACGUUCCCGGGCCUU
rnacentral:rRNA from 1 species